ACCAGACUCCUACGGGAGGCAGCAGUGGGGAAUAUUGCACAAUGGGGGAAACCCUGAUGCAGCGACGCCGCGUGAGCGAAGAAGUAUUUCGGUAUGUAAAGCUCUAUCAGCAGGGAAGAAAAAAAUGACGGUACCUGAGUAAGAAGCACCGGCUAAAUACGUGCCAGCAGCCGCGGUAAUACGUAUGGUGCAAGCGUUAUCCGGAUUUACUGGGUGUAAAGGGAGCGUAGGCGGCGCGUUAAGUCUGAUGUGAAAUCCCGAGGCUCAACCACGGGAGUGCAUUGGAAACUGGCGGGCUGGAGUGCCGGAGAGGUAAGCGGAAUUCCUAGUGUAGCGGUGAAAUGCGUAGAUAUUAGGAGGAACACCAGUGGCGAAGGCGGCUUACUGGACGGCAACUGACGCUGAGGCUCGAAAGCGUGGGGAGCAAACAGGAUUAGAUACCCCCGUAA
rnacentral:rRNA from 1 species